AUCUGUAGGAUUCAUAGUUCUCCUUGAACCGUCGGCGGGCGGUUCAAGCGAACCACUCGUACUACCCGCAUGAGGUAGACCGCCAU
rfam:Synechococcus sp. WH 8102 complete genome.